GAAAGAAUCAUCCAGCACCAAGAAUGAAGGGCACCAAGUCUGAGAGGCGUGGGAUCCUGGCUCUGAGGCCGGCUGUUGACUGAGGUCAGGGAAGAGGUUAAAGAAGACCCGCAAGUAUGACAUCAUCACCACUCCUGCCGAGCGCGUGGAAAUGGCCCCGCUGAACGAAGAGGACGAUGAGGAUGAGGACGCCACAGUGUUUGACAUCAAGUACAGGUAAAACCUUUUUUUCCAACGUGUUAGAAUCCUGUGAGGUGAAGGACCCAGGAGCCUGCAAAGCACGGAAACCAAAACAAACACUAUUUGUGACACCGUGGCUCUGCCCUAUGUGCCCAGCACCUGCCCAUAAUGUCACCCGUCAACUGUGUUUCCACAUUGCCACUGGAGAGUCGCCUCUGCUGCCCUUUGGACGCCCUUUUCAAAUGUCACCCCUUCCUGUCACUCCUCUGAGAGGUUUUAUGCCUUACCAAGGGGACAGGGAUAGAAACAUGUUGAUUUUAAAACAAGUUUUUAAAGCAGCUGCUGACAAUAGUCAAGCUCCGAUCAGCAGAAUUAGGAAUCGACAAGGAGCCGGCAGGGUCCUCGGCUGUGCGUGUGGAAUCCCGGCACUGUUCUCCUGGACCCAGGCGAGGAUGUCUCCGACUGGCUUUUCACUUCUGUGGGGUUCUGGCCUCGCCUGGUGACACUCUGUGAGAUUUUACAGCGGAAGUGUGGCUUCUCUGGAAGCCUACAUAUUAUGGCUUCUUUCUCUUUUUUCCUUCUUUAAAGGGUUCAGUAGAAAUAGGCAUGGCUAGUUCAUGAAGAAUUUCAAAUUUCAAAUAUCAGGGACAAGACAUACAUGUGCGCGUGCGUG